AGAAUUUUUAUUUUGGUGCAUCCCUACUUAAAGAUGUAAUACAAGAAAGGGAUAACUUCUUUUUGGCGCAAAUUUUAAUUACUCAGUAUCCCUAUUUAAACAGUCUGCCAGGCUGUUGCGUUUAUUCCAUUUGAAGAAGCCACAUAUGGUGAAACGUAUUAUAGUUAUUUUAAACAGUGUUUUUUUUGGUCACUCAGUUGUGCCAAUCUUCUUUUUAUUAU